GUUGAAGGCAGUAACCCCGCCUUUGCCAGUUAAGUGCUAAUUUUAAUACACAGAAAAAGACCUGUAACGGGCAAACGGCGCAGCGGAUCCGGGCAAGAUUUUUCCCAGGUUGCAAUGCAGCCGAGACCUGACUCACUAGUCAGCUGAUGGCAGGGAGCCUGUCUGCUUCAAUGGGUGGAAUGAUCGCUUUGUGGGAGAGAGAUCCAUCUACAACUAAUUCAACAGCUGUAGGCACCAUGAUUGAAAACCACAGAAAAUAUCCCGGAAACAACUCCGAACCGUUAUCAAAAACUAAUUCACCUUGGAUCCUAUUGGAUUUUUAAGCUUGCCACAUUGACCCACCAGGGGCUUAAUGAAUCAAUAGAGAAUGUUCG